rnacentral:rRNA from 1 species
CUACGUGCCAGCAGCCGCGGUAAUACGGAAGGUCCGGGCGUUAUCCGGAUUUAUUGGGUUUAAAGGGAGCGUAGGCCGGAGAUUAAGUGUGUUGUGAAAUGUAGACGCUCAACGUCUGACUUGCAGCGCAUACUGGUUUCCUUGAGUACGCACAACGUUGGCGGAAUUCGUCGUGUAGCGGUGAAAUGCUUAGAUAUGACGAAGAACUCCGAUUGCGAAGGCAGCUGACGGGAGCGCAACUGACGCUGAAGCUCGAAGGUGCGGGUAUCGAACAGGAUUAGAUACCCUGGUAGUCCGCACAGUAAACGAUGGAUGCCCGCUGUUGGUACUUGGUAUCAGCGGCUAAGCGAAAGCAUUAAGCAUCCCACCUGGGGAGUACGCCGGCAACGGUGAAACUCAAAGGAAUUGACGGGGGCCCGCACAAGCGGAGGAACAUGUGGUUUAAUUCGAUGAUACGCGAGGAACCUUACCCGGGCUUGAA